AUAGAAAAAAUCAAUUGCGGGCCACUCACCCACCCGGGGGAGGGGGCGUGGAGACUCAGGGCUUCCCCCUGUGGUGGGGUGAACUGGUGCUUGCGGCUCCAGCCCCAUGCGCUGGGCCGGAUGAAAUUAACCAAUGGUCCAGAUCCGGUCCGCAGGCCAUAGGUUCCCCACCCCUGUUCUAGGGAGAGCAAUUCCUCAGGAGAAUUGGUUACAGUGCUACUCUCAGUGGUGUUUCCUUAGAAAGUAGAGGUUCACGAAACAGGCCCAGAGGGAAAGUACUCCCAGGCAAGGGACUGGACCAGGAGAACAAUCUAGGUGUGGGACCUCUUGAGACUGGCUCAGCAAAGAGCAACACAGUAUUGGGGCGGGAAUAGGCAUCUAGCUAAACACUCAGCAGAGGCCCAAGCUCCCGGCAGAGGAUUCAGCCUGGGAAUGCUCUAUGGCUAGAGGGGCAAGAUGUAAGACUGAUUAAUCCAGGGGCAGAGAGGUUCUGGUGGCAGAGCCGACUAAAGCUUUUGUUUAUGUUUGUACUUCGCUGCUAUGUUUUGUUAAAUCAAGUAGACGUUCCAAGGAGGGCACUGGAAAAGUCUGCUUGGACUUGUUUAUACCCAGGGUGAGAGAAAACUAGAGCAGGGGCUCACCAGCAGCACCAUGUCUGACCACAGAGGGGCAUGUUAGGGUGACCUCCACACUAUUACACGAAACAAAACAGCAGCAGAUCCUACCCCAUACCAAACAGUCACUCAACAAAACAAUACAAAGCGUCUCUACCAGGCCUGUUGAAAGAAAUUUGGGGCCCUGGAACAUCAUGUUUGCUGGGGCCCUAUCCCCUCCCAUUUCAACCCAGUUACAGAUGUUUUGGGAGGGACCCUGGGCUCAGGGCCCUGGUACAACUGUCCCUCCUUUUCUCCUCUCUCAUCAGUCCUGAUCUCUACCUUCAGAUUCCUUAAGGAAGCCUCAUGCCCAAAGGCCUUCAACCCUCCUCAAAUGCCCUCUGGAAAAGACAGGCUUUGCUGUGGGUUCUGAAGGUCAACCAGUGUGCGGUAUUUCAGACUUAUUUUAUUAUUAUUUUAAAUAGAAAAAUUAGCCUCCCUCUCAAAAAAAGUAUAUACAUUCAGGGCCAUAAGACAAAGUGGCAUUGGUGGGAGUGUUUAAAGUCAAGGAAUACACUCUGUCCUUGAUUGACACUGUGUGUGCCUGUGCGUGUGUCCUGGCUUUUUAUCAGGAGAGAUCACAACCCCAAUGUUAUUUUAAACGUCCAGAAAUUAAUAUUUUAAAAGCCUUUAUCUAUCUGAGGAAUCUGGUGAAGAAACAGGAAGGGUUGCCAUCCUUGUUCUCGGUGCUGUAGUGGUCUCUGUGACUCUUGGGUGGGUUCUUACAGCAUGGGUUUUUAUAGGCUGCAUCACCCUAACCCACAAUGUUGGGCUUCC
rnacentral:lncRNA from 1 species